rnacentral:rRNA from 1 species
UCAGGCCUAACACAUGCAAGUCGAACGGCAGCAUGGAAGAGCUUGCUCUUCUGAUGGCGAGUGGCGAACGGGUGAGUAAAGCAUCGGAACGUACCGUGUAGUGGGGGAUAACGUAGCGAAAGUUACGCUAAUACCGCAUACGCACUGAGGUGGAAAGCAGGGGAUCGCAAGACCUUGCGCUAUACGAGCGGCCGAUGUCAGAUCAGCUAGUUGGUAGGGUAAAGGCCUACCAAGGCGACGAUCUGUAGCGGGUCUGAGAGGAUGAUCCGCCACACUGGGACUGGGACACGGCCCAGACUCCUACGGGAGGCAGCAGUGGGGAAUUUUGGACAAUGGGGGAAACCCUGAUCCAACAAGGCCGCGUGAGUGAAGAAGGCCUUCGGGUUG